AUGAAAUAUGAAGUUUUAUUAAAAGAAAAAGGGGUGAAAAGAACAAAGUUUUGUCCAUCUUUGUUCAUCAUAGCUGAAAGUUAGAGGAGAGAAAGGAGAGGAGAAAACUCUUGAGUAUUUGGUCAUUAGGAGGAGGAAAAUUGAAGGCGGUUCGUGUGUGGAUCUCGUCAACAUAUCGUCGCAAACAGAAAAUCCCCAACCAUAGUGGGCUUGGAGCUGUGAGGGAAUUCGGAGUGGCCACCCGUUCUGUAACGCCCCAAUUUUCGGGAAUCCUGUGAAUGUUGGCAUAGGUUUAAUUAUGUUAGUGGGCCUCUAGAAAGCCCAAGCUUAAGAUAGAACCCGGCAAUUUUAGUUAAUUUUUGUUCCAUAAGAAAAAGGGGGUGAAAUUAUGAAAUAGGACCUAUGUGAAAAUGUUUGAAAAUGCUAUAGGCUAAAUUGAAGUGGCCAAAUAAAUAGGAGUGCAAAAUAGGAGGAUUUGCAUGACAAACCUCCCAUUUUACAUGAAGUGGCCAGCCAU